UAACGUUCCUCCUCCUCACCCUACCGUACGCUGCAAGACCUCUAGGGAAAUGUAGUUCUUCAGGGGGCGGGGCGCGGUGGCUUACCUUUACAGAGUCCCCACGCCUCUGGACAGCAUCCGCCUGCUCCCUCCCUGGAGAGGCCCAAAGCUCUCAAAGCCUCACUCCUUGCCCUAUACCACCAAGCCAUUUUCCUCUAGUGCAACGUGAACCACAGCAACAUCUUGAUACACACUAAGGAGGGAGUCGAAGUCCCUUUGGCCAAACUAAAAUCUGAGCUCCAAUUUCACACGAAAAUCAAUGGCUUUGGCAGCAGAGUGAGCAUCCCUACACUCUGGUUCAGGAGUCCAGCCAGUCCGCUUCAUUCCUGGGAUCCAACUUUACUGGGGAAGCCAGGCCCCACUCUGCACACAGCUGCCUCCUGAUCAUCCCACCUCCUUCCUGGCAUCACCACCUCGGGGGGCCAUCCUAGCUCCCCCAAACUAAAGGAGUGACUGGUCCUCCUGCACACCCGGAAUGGUCUUGUUCAUGUGGAGAUUGAAACCUGCCAGAAGUGUAUUUGGAGCACCACAGCGUAUCAGCAUCAUAGAAGACUUUUCCAGUGUAACUCUGAAGAAGCCAAAUCAAGCUAGUGGAAGAAAGAAAAGGGAAUUUUUUUUAUUUCAUGCAACCAAGUGGUCCAGGCAUGGAGCUGGCAUUAGGGAUCGAAGCUGACCUCUGUCCAAGCGCUCAGCGGCAUUCUGCUUUCUCUCUCUGCUGUUUUUUGCUUUUUGUUCUGUUUUAUUUUAUUUUUCUUUGUUUUGUUUCAUUUUGUUUUUCAACCCCUUCUCUUAGUGGAUGGACACAACAGUUCAAAGCCUCAAGCAAAAACCUCAGACUGAGUCUCAGUCUUGGGCCCUUGCCAUUCACUGUGGCUGGUGGAUAGAGGAAAACCAAGCCACUGAGAGACUGAAGGAUAAGAAGUGCCCCCGCAAAAUUCAUGAGCCAUCACGACAACUACAGGGAAUGUCCAUGGAGAAAGCAAAAACAUCUCACAAAAGCCACAACAGUAUUAGAAUAAAAUGAUGGAUGAGGACCCAGCUCCUCAUGAACGGCUUCAAUGCUGCCCUCCCACUCUACUCUAUACCAAGAAAAUUAAUUUACUGGCAUCCAUUAACUGCUUGCAAUUUGGUGAGAUGUGGAAUCUUUUUGUGUGAGGAAUGGUUUAAAUUUUAUGCUCUUGCUGGACAUCUAAAACCAGCCACAGAGGAGUAGCAAACGUGAGAUCAUCAUGUCCGAUACUUCCUCUUUCACACAAAUAGAUCAUCACUUCACUCAAGUAGGCCAGCACUUUUGUAUUAGACAAUCCCCUGAUAAAAAGGGGUUUCCCUCAGUCCCCAACCUUCCAGAAUUAUUGCUGAGUCAGGACCUGUGGGAAGCAUAUGUGCUGGAGUGUUCACACACCCACAGAAAACUCCCAGACUAGAGCAUCGGGUGGUCUCUACUUACCCCAAGGGCCAAACAAGUCUUUACACACUCCCAUGAUAGUGUGUAAGGAACACUUGUGUUUUCUGCAAGGUUUCUUGGUUACUCAUUUUCCAAAAAAAGAAUCUACACUUCUGAGGAAGCAAAGAGCAUGUGUGGGUUUUUCCGUUUCCAGUUUUGCACAAAGUACAACAUCAGUUACCAGUUUAAAAAAGAAAAAUUCUAGUGUUCUUUCAC